rnacentral:sRNA from 1 species
GUCUGAGUGCAGUGAUGUUUACAUCUCACAACCAGUUACAGAUUUCUUUGUUCCUUCUGCACUCCCACUGCUUCACUUAUCUAGACUUAA